rnacentral:rRNA from 1 species
GAUGAACGCUGGCGGCGUGCCUAAUACAUGCAAGUCGAGCGAACAGAUGAGGAGCUUGCUCCUCUGACGUUAGCGGCGGACGGGUGAGUAACACGUGGAUAACCUACCUAUAAGACUGGGAUAACUUCGGGAAACCGGAGCUAAUACCGGAUAAUAUAUUGAACCGCAUGGUUCAAUAGUGAAAGACGGUUUUGCUGUCACUUAUAGAUGGAUCCGCGCCGCAUUAGCUAGUUGGUAAGGUAACGGCUUACCAAGGCAACGAUGCGUAGCCGACCUGAGAGGGGGGAAGGCAACAAUGGAAAUGAGAAAGGAUGGAGACGACGACGGGAGGAAGAAGGAGGGAAUCUGAAGGAAGGGGUGAAAGACUGACGGAGCAAUGAAGAGGGAGGAAUGAAGGGCUUCGUAUCGUAAAACGCUGUUAUUAGGCAAGAACAAAGGUGUAAGGAACUAUGCACGCCGUGACGGGACCUAAUCAGAAAGACAAGGCUAAUUACGUG